ensembl:lncRNA
AGUUCCUAAACCACCCACUACAUGAUGUCAUAGCAUCAUAUAUUUGUCACCAGUGGAUGAUGAUUACGUUUUACAAGAUUGCUUUCUACUACAAGUCAAGUAUCAAAUUAAGUACGAAAAAGCAAGUCAGAUCUUUCAGCUGAAAUGUCGAACAUACUUUAGGUGAUGUGUGAGUGCUACAUAAGGCACAGUGAGGAUGACAGGACUGUUUAAUAAUUGUUUUUAUGGGCCUUUAGAGCGCCUGUAACCACCCACCAACUGAUUCCCAUUGCUCCCUGCGUUACCCUGGUGAUCUUUGUCUCACAAAGUCGACACUAUAUAAAAAAAGAAAAUGUUAAACUCAACUUUCCUGUUGACAGGUGUGGAGAAUGUAAAAAUACUUUCACAGUAUAGUCUUAGAAAGAAAGAAAGAAAGAAAGAAAGAAAGAAAGAAAGAAAGAAAGAAAGAAAGAAAGAAAGAAAGAAAGAAAGAAAGAAAGAAAGAAACCUUGAUACUAUACUGUGUGCUAGAUUGUUGGGCUCUAAAUGAGGGGAAUGGCAGUUUCCACAUUUUAUGGCCAAAAGGGAGGGUAAGUGAUAAUAUUGCAAAUAUUUUGAUUCUGUUGCUUAAAAUCAAAUUGUUUUCUUCAGUUUGAGACUCCUAGCUUUAGGAUUUAAGAGAUGUAUGUCAAUUUUACCUUUUUAGUUAUUUAUUUAUUUAUUUUUUACCUCUUUACUUUUAAUCAGUGUCCUUUGUAGGGACCUCGCAUUUUGUGUUCAAAUUAUAGGAAGCAGAGGGCAGCCUGAGGCAGAAACGAUUUUCCUCACAAUCGUGGACAAGGAGUCAGACCUAGAGCUGUCAGGAGAUGAGAAGCACAAGCAUCAGCUUAAAGUUUGACAGUAUUAGUAUUUAUAGUAUUUAUUCUAAAAGUGCAUUACACCGUACCUUUCCUGUCUUUAUCAAUUCAAUUUAGAUGAUACAGAAAUUGGGUGAAAAAAUGACAAUGCUGCCCACAUACACCAAGACAGUUGGUCCUCUGAUUACAUCACACAGAAAAUAGGAAACCAGAUUUUAGAGUAGAAAAAAUGUCACAAGCCAAACGGAGGUGCUUCAUCUCCGAAUAUGGCCUUAAAACUGCAAACAUUCAUCAGCAUAUCUGUGUUCACAGCAUGACUCGGAUAACAUUAGAUCCAUAUUUAGUGGUUCCUAGUUAUUGCCAAACCAAUAAAUCAGGACAGAUUCUUCAAGAUUAGUCCAUCACAGAAACAAAUGAGGGGGAAAAGAUAGCAGUUGAGAAACCAAACCUCAGAGCUCCACGUCUUCAGAGCCCUGCCUUACACAAUACUUGGUAUCCAUAAUUGAUAUUGGGGUCAUCAUUUUGCCCCAGAUCAGGUGUCUCAAAAAUUGGUUAUGUCCUCCUCUGAGCUUCCACUUGUUUUAUUUUGGUCAAUUAUUUCUUUGUUGUAACAAUGCUUUUUGGAAAUAAAUCUCAUAGUGUUAGAAAGCCUGUUUAUUUCCCCUUAAAUGGUGCCACACUUGUAAGGAAAAUGCAUUUGUGGAUUGAGCAGCGAGUUGAGUGUGUGGGCUGGGCCCUUAUAAACUUGUCAAAUCUUCCCUGCCAAUGCCAAACAGCUUAUCCAAUACUGACUUCUGUUUUGAGCUUCUGGUAAGUAAGUAAGUAAAAUUUUAUUUAUAUAGCACAUUUCUAGAUAAAAAGAUCACAAAGUGCUUCACAAAGUAUAAAACAAAAAGUCAGUACCCCAGGUGCUGACAACAUUUUUUCCACUAAUUUUGCUGAUACC